GUUUUGAAAGAGACACUGAAAUAGAAGUGAGAAGAUGGUUGAUUAAAACACAUCAGAAAGUUGCCAAGUAAGCACAUUUAUGACAGCAAGUUCUAAACAAACAGAUUUUAAAAGAAAGUUUUCAUUCUGUAACAAUUUGUAUUUCCUCUGUUUGCUUCCACAGAGCAAGGUGUGAACAGAAUGACAAAACACUGUUCAAACUAUUAAAAU
rfam:Sarcophilus harrisii ctg7180002252577, whole genome shotgun sequence.